GCAUCUGGGAGGCCUGCUAACUGGCUAACUUCUCCGGCGUUCCUCCCGGCCGAGGCGUGGGCACAGAAUAGCGGCGGCACCGGCGCCGGUCAGUAUGUACCUCGUUUUGUAUAUUGUCUUGAAACUUUACUCCUUUGUAUGUUUGAAGACAUCAUUUUCCAGUUUUGGAGCCGACUAAUGAACUAGUUCUUAAGUGAAAGGCAUUUAACACGACUGUGCAUCUACAGGUACUAGGUUUCCAAGAUGCCUUUCCAGACUAAAACCCACACAUGUGAGCCGCUGGCCGGACAAACAUCUGGCACCUAACGUGGGGCUGAAAAACAGCAGAGGACAUUUGGAAGAAACACUGCUGGUUUGGAGCUCCAUAGAAGAAGAAAAUAAUUAAAGGAAAUUCAUACCAGAGAAGGUCAGUAUGGGCUAAGCUGAAACAGCGUUUAACCUGAGCGCUAAUUCGCUUAGGUUCAGCAGUGAGGCAUCUCAGGAGCUAGGAACGUAACAGGCGGUUAGCCAUAGCUCCCAGAAGCUACAUUUUUAGGCGUGAGAAAAGAAAGGGUUUAUUAAAAGGAAAUUAAUAAUAAGGCGGACUGCAUUAUGCGGGAGGAAAAUGUCCCAAAAAGCAGAGAGAAAUUUCCGGAAAGCCAUGCUUUGUUCUCUCUGGGCUUUACAGCAGAAAUACUCUGCCCCUUUUGUGUCUUGUCUAAUGUCUGGUGCACUGAAAGACCCACAACAUGAGGACUCCCCCACGUUCUGACUCAGGAGAGGCGACACCCCAAACCACUCACAAGAAACGGUCUUGCUGCAAACUGCAAGAGGAUUUUUUUAUUCAAGAGCGCUCUCGGGCCCACGGUCAUACACCACACAGGGGUAGAGGACUGUCGCGUCCUGAGUUGCUGGGAAAGUGGGUAUUUAAAGGAAGAAACCACAACUCAAGGAAGUG
ensembl:lincRNA